rnacentral:rRNA from 1 species
AGAACGAACGCUGGCGGCGUGGAUAAGACAUGCAAGUCGAACGCGAUUUAUCUGGUUAGCAAUAACCGGGUAAAUUGAGUGGCGAAAGGGUGCGUAACACGUGGGAAUUUACCAAGAAGUGGGGAAUAGCUCGGCGAAAGCCGAAUUAAUACCGCAUAUGAUCGCAAGAUCAAAGUCGGGGACCGCAAGGCCUGACGCUUUUUGAGAAGCCCGCGGCCCAUUAGUUAGUUGGUGGGGUAAUGGCCCACCAAGACUCCGAUGGGUAGCUGGCUUGAGAGAGCGACCAGCCACACUGGAACUGAGACACGGUCCAGACUCCUACGGGAGGCAGCAGUGAGGAAUUUUCCGCAAUGGGCGCAAGCCUGACGGAGCGACGCCGCGUGUGGGAAGAAGGCCUUCGGGUCGUAAACCGACUGUCGAAGGGGACGAUAUUGACGGUACCCUUGGAGGAAGCCCGGCUAACUACGCGCCAGCAGCCGC